rnacentral:rRNA from 1 species
GACGAACGCUGGCGGCGUGCUUAACACAUGCAAGUCGAACGGAACUCUUUGGAUCAAGACUUCGGUCAAGUGAGAUUGAGUUUAGUGGCGGACGGGUGAGUAACGCGUGAGGAACCUGCCUUUCAGAGGGGGACAACAGUUGGAAACGACUGCUAAUACCGCAUAACGCGUAGAGAUCGCAUGGUCUUUACGCCAAAGAUUUAUCGCUGAGAGAUGGCCUCGCGUCUGAUUAGCUAGUUGGUGAGGUAACGGCCCACCAAGGCAACGAUCAGUAGCCGGACUGAGAGGUUGACCGGCCACAUUGGGACUGAGAUACGGCCCAGACUCCUACGGGAGGCAGCAGUGGGGAAUAUUGGGCAAUGGGCGCAAGCCUGACCCAGCAACGCCGCGUGAAGGAGAAGGCUUUCGGGUUGUAAACUUCUUUUGUCGAGGAAGAGUAGAAGACUGUACUCGGCGAAUAAGCCACGGCUAACUACGUG